rnacentral:tRNA from 1 species
GCCGAGUGGUUAAGGCGAUGGAUUGCUAAUCCAUUGUGCUCUGCACGCGCAGGUUCGAAUCCUGCCGUUG